ACACCUUGUGCGGGGACUCCGUGCACAGGGUCCCCAGGUGCAGCCAUCCUGGUCGGAGGGAAGCAGAUACACCAAACGGAACUGGUGCACAGCCUCCCAAAGAAGCUGCAACGCUCUCAGUGUGACCCCCCCAAGCUUCACUCCUUGGCGCAGGAAGUGACCCUGGGUGCCUUGUGUGGGGUACAUUGAGGCCCCCAUGUUGGGUUUGCCUCUGUGACACACUCUGGCUCAUGAAAUGGCAGUGGACGGCAUGACAAUGGCUCAUUCCAAGCCCAGGCCUUCGGAAUCACAGCAUGUGUCUGCUCGGCCACCUGUAUCUCGGGUCUCACCCCGAGGAGAACAUGAUCUGAUACUUACUGGCCACGGAGAAUGAGAAACACGGGAGCUACGUGAACCACGAGCAGCCUGGGGCCUCGGGCUCCCUGGCAAGUGUGAUGGACCACAUCCCGCGCGUCUCCUCGCCCCACGAGUUUCCACUGACAGAUGGAAGAUCAAAUCUGCAUUCCAUAUGCUGCUAUGUUGCUUCCUACUACCUCCUGUCCUGAAGAAAGACUGCAGCCCGGACCACCAAUGGCCCAUGGCCCUGGUACGUAGGGGAGAAGGCCCUGAGUUGACCUCCCCUCCAAAGCGUUGGGGGUGAGGCUGAAGGUGACAUUGUUCCCCUCUGUCUCUGAGGGCUGGGGUGUCCUCACCUCUCUACGGUGCCAGGAGGCCACAGCUGGAGCCUCGUCUUUGACACCUGGCAGGACCAGCCUCCCUCAUUACCUGUUCUCAGCACUGUCCUGGUGACUCGUGCACAGCGUUAUUCCGUAUCAACAUUAGAGUAAAUUUUCCACUUAAAAAAA